GACGUAGGGUGCAAGCGUUGUCCGGAAUUAUUGGGCGUAAAGAGCUCGUAGGCGGUUUGUUGCGUCGGCUGUGAAAUCCCGAGACUCAACCUCGGGUCUGCAGUCGAUACGAGCAAACUAGAGUGUUGCAGGGGAGACUGGAAUUCCUGGUGUAGCGGUGAAAUGCGCAGAUAUCAGGAGGAACACCGGUGGCGAAGGCGGGUCUCUGGGCCGAUACUGACGCUGAGGAGCGAAAGCGUGGGGAGCAAACAGG
rnacentral:rRNA from 1 species